UCGUCAGGUAGGAUAAUCCUUACCUGUUUCUCCUUUUGGAGAACAGAAUACACAAAUGGGCAGAAGACCUAAAUAGACAUUUCUCCAAAGAAGACAUACAGAU